rnacentral:rRNA from 1 species
AUUGAACGCUGGCGGCAGGCUUAACACAUGCAAGUCGAGCGAGUGGCGGACGGGUGAGUAAUGUCUGGGAAACUGACCGAUGGAGGGGGAUAACUACUGGAAACGGUAGCUAAUACCGCAUACCCUCAGAUGUGCCCAGAUGGGAUUAGCUAGUAGGUGGGGUAAUGGCUCACCUAGGCGACGAUCCCUAGCUGGUCUGAGAGGAUGACCAGCAACACUGGAGCUGAGACACGGGCCAGACUCCUACGGGAGGCAGCAGUGGGGAAUAUUGCACAAUGGGCGCAAGCCUGAUGCAGCCAUGCCGCGUGUAGGAAGAAGGCCUUCGGGUUGUAAAGCACUUUCAGCGAGGAGGCGUUACUCGCAGAAGAAGCACCGGCUAACUCCGUGCCAGCAGCCGCGGUAAUUC